rnacentral:rRNA from 1 species
AGAGUGAACGCUGGCGGUAGGCCUAACACAUGCAAGUCGAACGGCAGCACAGUGGUAGCAAUACCAUGGGUGGCGAGUGGCGGGCGGGUGAGGAAUACAUCGGAAUCUACCUUUUCGUGGGGGAUAACGUAGGGAAACUUACGCUAAUACCGCAUAAGACCUUCGGGUGAAAGCCGGGGACCUUCGGGCCUGGCGCGGAUAGAUGAGCCGAUGUCGGAUUAGCUUGUUGGCGGGUAAAAGCCCACAAGGCGACGAUCCGUAGCUGGUCUGAGAGGAUGAUCAGCCACACUGGAACUGAGACACGGUCCAGACUCCGUACGGGAGGCAG